AUACUCCUUAGCAUAACAACUUGAUAAUAACAGCCUCGCGCAGCUUACGUCACAUUAUGACUUAGCCCCGCGCGAGAAAGAGCACAUAAUGAACUCAGAUAGCAACACUUAGUAUAAAAACAAUGGUAUAAGUGAACACACUAACCCCGCGCGGGUUAGUUGCCACCAAACAAAAUCCUCUCCAUAGGAAGACGCGCUGUUACCUACAGAGGUACACAGGGUACAAGUGGCAGUAAAAAGAGCCAAUGAGCGCGGCAUGAUGACAUCCGUGCCAGGGGUCAACUCAAGCGUCGCUCUCAGCGACUUAUCUCACCAACCUGUCAGAGGUUCAAAUUUCGAAGUUUCCCGCCAUAAAACGUGCAAGUAACUUCAUGCAGAAGUCACAAGAGUCGCGCCAGAUAUACGUAAACUGCUAACACCUCGCGCGAUUAAAAGGACAACUUCCCCUUCUCUUAUUUUUAUCAAGUCCAGAGCUCCAACCACUUGCGUUGCGCAUGGUGCAGCACUGGACUGGGGGGACUUGAAGGGGUAUGGUCCCAAAAAGUCGCGCAAACCUCAUAACAGGUUGCACGUGAGACCAUACUCCUUAGCAUAACAACUUGAUAAUAACAGCCUCGCGCAGCUUACGUCACAUUAUGACUUAGCCCCGCGCGAGAAAGAGCACAUAAUGAACUCAGAUAGCAACACUUAGUAUAAAAACAAUGGUAUAAGUGAACACACUAACCCCGCGCGGGUUAGUUGCCACCAAACAAAAUCCUCUCCAUAGGAAGACGCGCUGUUACCUACAG
rnacentral:lncRNA from 1 species